rnacentral:rRNA from 1 species
GAUGAACGCUGGCGGCGUGCCUAAUACAUGCAAGUCGAGCGAACGGACGAGAAGCUUGCUUCUCUGAUGUUAGCGGCGGACGGGUGAGUAACACGUGGAUAACCUACCUAUAAGACUGGGAUAACUUCGGGAAACCGGAGCUAAUACCGGAUGAUAUUUUGAACCGCAUGGUUCAAAAGUGAAAGACGGUCUUGCUGUCACUUAUAGAUGGAUCCGCGCUGCAUUAGCUAGUUGGUAAGGUAAUGGCUUACCAAGGCAACGAUGCAUAGCCGACCUGAGAGGGUGAUCGGCCACACUGGAACUGAGACACGGUCCAGACUCCUACGGGAGGCAGCAGUAGGGAAUCUUCCGCAAUGGGCGAAGGCCUGACGGAGCAACGCCGCGUGAGUGAUGAAGGUCUUCGGAUCGUAAAACUCUGUUAUUAGGGAAGAACAUAUGUGUAAGUAACUGUGCACAUCUUGACGGUACCUAAUCAGAAAGCCACGGCUAACUACGUG